rnacentral:rRNA from 1 species
UUCGCCCUUAGAGUUUGAUCCUGGCUCAGGAUGAACGCUGGCGGCGUGCCUAACACAUGCAAGUCGAGCGAAGCACUUUGCUUUGAUUCUUUCGGGAGGAAAAGUAAUUUGACUGAGCGGCGGACGGGUGAGUAACGCGUGGGUAACCUGCCUCAUACAGGGGGAUAACAGUUAGAAAUGACUGCUAAUACCGCAUAAGCGCACAGGACCGCAUGGUCCGGUGUGAAAAACUCCGGUGGUAUGAGAUGGACCCGCGUCUGAUUAGUUAGUUGGCGGGGUAACGGCCCACCAAGGCGACGAUCGGUAGCCGGACUGAGAGGUUGAACGGCCACAUUGGGACUGAGACACGGCCCAGACUCCUACGGGAGGCAGCAGUGGGGGAUAUUGCACAAUGGGGGAAACCCUGAUGCAGCAACGCCGCGUGAGGGAAGAAGGUUUUCGGAUUGUAAACCUCUGUCCUAGGUGAAGAUAAUGACGGUAACCUGGGAGGAAGCUCCGGCUAACUACGUGCCAGCAGCCGCGGUAAUACGUAGGGAGCGAGCGUUGUCCGGAAUUACUGGGUGUAAAGGGUGCGUAGGCGGCCUUGUGGGUCAGGCGUGAAAUACAUGGGCUUAACCCAUGGACUGCGCUUGAAACUAUAAGGCUUGAGUGAAGUAGAGGCAGGUGGAAUUCCCGGUGUAGCGGUGAAAUGCGUAGAGAUCGGGAGGAACACCAGUGGCGAAGGCGGCCUGCUGGGCUUUAACUGACGCUGAGGCACGAAAGCAUGGGUAGCAAACAGGAUUAGAUACCCUGGUAGUCCAUGCCGUAAACGAUGAUUACUAGGUGUGGGUGGACUGACCCCAUCCGUGCCGGAGUUAACACAAUAAGUAUCCCACCUGGGGAGUACGAUCGCAAGGUUGAAACUCAAAGGAAUUGACGGGGGCCCGCACAAGCGGUGGAUUAUGUGGUUUAAUUCGAUGCAACGCGAAGAACCUUACCAGGGCUUGACAUCCUGCUAACGAGGUAGAGAUACGUCAGGUGCCCUUCGGGGAAGGCAGAGACAGGUGGUGCAUGGUUGUCGUCAGCUCGUGUCGUGAGAUGUUGGGUUAAGUCCCGCAACGAGCGCAACCCUUAUUGUUAGUUGCUACGCAAGAGCACUCUAGCGAGACUGCCGUUGACAAAACGGAGGAAGGUGGGGACGACGUCAAAUCAUCAUGCCCCUUAUGUCCUGGGCUACACACGUAAUACAAUGGCGGUAAACAGAGGGAUGCAAAACUGCGAAGUGGAGCGAACCCCUAAAAGCCGUCCCAGUUCAGAUUGCAGUCUGCAACUCGACUGCAUGAAGUCGGAAUCGCUAGUAAUCGCGGAUCAGCAUGCCGCGGUGAAUACGUUCCCGGGCCUUGUACACACCGCCCGUCA